rnacentral:rRNA from 1 species
UGGGGAAUAUUGCACAAUGGGCGCAAGCCUGAUGCAGCCAUGCCGCGUGUGUGAAGAAGGUUUUCGGAUCGUAAAACUCUGUUGUUAGAGAAGAACAAGGACGUUAGUAACUGAACGUCCCCUGACGGUAUCUAACCAGAAAGCCACGGCUAACUACGUGCCAGCAGCCGCGGUAAUACGUAGGUGGCAAGCGUUGUCCGGAUUUAUUGGGCGUAAAGCGAGCGCAGGCGGUUUCUUAAGUCUGAUGUGAAAGCCCCCGGCUCAACCGGGGAGGGUCACUGGAAACUGGGAGAAUUGAGUGCAGAAGAGGAGAGUGGAAUUCCACGUGUAGCGGUGAAAUGCGUAGAUAUAUGGGGGAACACCAGUGGCGAAGGCGGCUCUCUGGGAUGUAACUGACGCUGAGGCUCGAAAGCGUGGGGAGCAAACAGG